AUUCCAGCUCCAAUAGCGUAUAUUAAAGUUGUUGCAGUUAAAAAGCUCGUAGUUGGAUUUGUGGUGUACUUCGGCGGCCCGUCACUAUGUGAUGGAGCUUGCUGAAGUCGCCAUCCUUGGGUGGAUCCUGUGUGGCAUUAAGUUGUCGUGCAGGGGAUGCCCAUCGUUUACUGUGAAAAAAUUAGAGUGUUCAAAGCAGGCUUAUGCCGUUGAAUAUAUUAGCAUGGAAUAAUAAGAUAGGACCUUGGUACUAUUUUGUUGGUUUGCGCACCAAGGUAAUGAUUAAUAGGGACAGUUGGGGGUAUUCGUAUUUCAUUGUCAGAGGUGAAAUUCUUGGAUUUUUGAAAGACGAACUACUGCGAAAGCAUUUACCAAGGAUGUUUUCAUUG
rnacentral:rRNA from 1 species